rnacentral:rRNA from 1 species
UGCGUAGAUUUCGGGAAGAACAUCGGUGGCGAAAGCGCUCUGCUGGGCCGCAACUGACACUCAGGGACGAAAGCUAGGGGAGCGAAUGGGAUUAGAUACCCCAGUAGUCCUAGCCGUAAACGAUGGAUACUAGGUGUUGUCUGUAUCGACCCGGACAGUGCCGUAGCUAACGCGUUAAGUAUCCCGCCUGGGGAGUACGCACGCAAGUGUGAAACUCAAAGGAAUUGACGGGGGCCCGCACAAGCGGUGGAGCAUGUGGUUUAAUUCGACGCAACGCGAAGAACCUUACCUGGGUUUGACAUCCCGAUCGUACUCUAUAGAAAUAUAGAGGUCAGCUCGGCUGGAUCGGUGACAGGUGCUGCAUGGCUGUCGUCAGCUCGUGUCGUGAGAUGUUGGGUUAAGUCCCGCAACGAGCGCAACCCUUGUCCUUAGUUGCCAGCAUUAAGUUGGGCACUCUAAGGAGACUGCCGGUGUUAAACCGGAGGAAGGUGGGGAUGACGUCAAGUCCUCAUGGCCCUUAUGUCCAGGGCUACACACGUGCUACAAUGGCCGGUACAAAGGGAAGCAAUACCGCGAGGUGGAGCGAAUCCCGUAAAACAUGUCUCAGUCCGGAUUGGAGUCUGCAACUCGACUCCAUGAAGUUGGAAUCGCUAGUAAUCGUGGAUCAGCAUGCCACGGUGAAUACGUUCCCGGGCCUUGUACACACCGCCCGUCACACCACGGAAGUUGGUUGUACCAGAAGCUAGUUGAGCGAACCUUUCAGGUAGCAGGCUGCCAAGGUAUGGCUGGUAACUGGGGUGAAGUCGUAACAAGGUAGCCGUAGAUC